CCCUAGUUAGCUCAAUUGGUAGAGCGCUCCACCUGUAAUGGAGAGGUCCCGGGUUCGAUACCCGGACCAGGCG
rfam:Ixodes scapularis strain Wikel colony gcontig_1107728614354, whole genome shotgun sequence.